rnacentral:rRNA from 1 species
UACGUAGGGUGCGAGCGUUAAUCGGAAUUACUGGGCGUAAAGAGCUCGUAGGUGGUUUGUCGCGUUGUCCGUGAAAACUCACAACUCAAUUGUGGGCGUGCGGGCGAUACGGGCAGACUGGAGUACUGCAGGGGAGACUGGAAUUCCUGGUGUAGCGGUGGAAUGCGCAGAUAUCAGGAGGAACACCGGUGGCGAAGGCGGGUCUCUGGGCAGUAACUGACGCUGAGGAGCGAAAGCGUGGGAGCGAACAGG